AUGCAUAGAAUGAAUUCGGCAAGGGGAGCAAUGUAUGUUUCUUAAUGGGGAGAAGAAGACAUGUGGGGAUGCAGAUAUUCCCUACUCCUCUACUGAUAGUUAAAAUCUCAUGGACAAAAUAAUCCAAACUACUGAUUGUUCUGCUACACUGUCCAGAUAUAUCAUGAGAUAUGACAACUGGUAAUCUCCAACAUUUUGCAUUUCUAUUCAGAAAAAACAUCAGACUGAAGGUGGAACCUCUUAGAACCAAUCAAAUUCUAGGGACAGAAUUCUGGCACUGGACAGUCAAUGGUCAAUCAAACUUAGGUCAGUUUCUAUGGCCAGAGACAUGGUGCCAUGAAAUAAUAAUCUUUCAUGUCAGAAUUGAGUCUGGUGAUUUUGUGGGUCAGCUAGAUCAGUUCCUAGGGAGGAGCAUCACUGAGUGGAAAAUUUAAUAGGUGUCUAUUUAUAAGACUAAUUUAAUACAUGUGGCUAAAAGCUAUCUUUUUGUAAAUUUCAGGCAUGAUUUAUUAUUUAAUAUAUAUAUUGAUGCUGGAUUGAUGUUUAAAGGUAGAAUAAUGUUACUCUUCAUCUUCAGAAUUCUUCAAUAAAUUUACCAUUCCUAUAGUUAGUUGAAUCUAUAACACUCUAUACAAUAAAUCUCAGACCUAUACCUUCCCUCAUGGAAGAACCACUAAAAUCUGGCUCCAAACUUCCAGUCAGGUACAGUUUUGCACUUCUCCCUGAU